rnacentral:ncRNA from 1 species
UUCUGCGAGGAUUGACAGAUUGAGAACUCUUUCUUGAUUGGGUGGAUGGUGAUUGGUGCAUGUCCGUUCUUAGUUGGUGGAGCGGUUUGUCUGGUUAAUUAUGAUAACGAACGAGACUCUAGCCUAUUAAAUAGGUGCGUGCUUCUCUGCACCUUGCACCCUUCUUAGAGGGACAACGGCUCCUAACCGCACGAAACAGAGCAAUAACAGGUCUGUGAUGCUCUUAGAU